UUUUAAAAAGAUUUUGUUUGUUUGUUUGUUUGUUUGUUUGUUUGAGAGAGAGCACGAAAGAGUGGGAGCAGCAGAGGGAGGAGAAGCAGGCUCCCCUCUGAGCAGGGAGCCUGAUGCAGGGCUCAAUCCUAGGACCCUGAGAUCAUGACCUGAGCUGAAAGCAGACGUUUAAAUAACGGAGCCAGAUGCUCCCAAAAGUGGUAGGUUUAACAAAGACAGUUUCAACCUCAUGAUUUAGCAGAGCCUUUGUUAAAUUAAUGUACAUUGUGAUGCUCCAAACCUGGGCCGGAGAUUACAGUGCUGUCUACAUCUCUAAUAAUCCUUCCCAGGGGAAGCAUCCCAUGAUGCUACUGUACUGUGGAGCAUGCUCUAUAAAGUGCUACAGUGGACCAGAUCUGGUCAAUCAAAGCAUUCUGGAGUCAGCAGAGGGAGACACAACUCUGGGUUUUGUUUUGUUUUGUUUUUUUAAGUACUGGGCAGAGACAGUCUCUCUGUCCACCAGGGUUGCUGAGAGAAUAAAAUAUUCAGGAGAAGGAAGACAACACCCAAGAAAACAGCUCUGAGAUGGGAGAGGGCUGAAUAAUAAUGACAUCAUAGUUUCUUGGGUGGGUCUGGUGUGAGCAGUACUCUCGGAUCCAACAGCUGAGUCAGAGCCCACCUUUCCAGUUCACCCUGACUGGACAGAUGCUGGCACUCCACCCUGGAACAAAGCGAACUUCAUGGAGAUGCCUGCAGGCCCUCUUUUUUACUUCAAAAUUUGUCAUAAGCAGUUUGACUCCCAGCCACAUGCAGGUGCCCUAUCUCAUCUCUGGCCUUCUGGCUAAGCACAUCCAUGUACUAGAUGUUGAAGAUAAGCCCUGUGAUUCAGGCUGAUGUUAACCUGUUAUGUUGAAGCGUGCUUUGAAUCUUCACCAGGGAGCAAACAGCAAGAAAGAAUCCUAAGCAUUUAGCACAUAACCCUUAUGUUGACAAAACCCUCUCGAUACCAGGAGAGAUGUCUGACAAUUCCCAUUCUGCAGAUGAGGAAAUGAGCUUCAGGCGCACAACCUGUUCACUGCCACACACAAGCUGACACAGCUAGAGUUCACGCAGGGCUCAUUCCUACUUCUGUGCUAUUUGUCCAACACUCUACUGAAACUUGAGAAACCAAAAGCUUUCCUCAGAAAUUAUUGAAUCGAACUUUUUAAAAACUAAAGCCUUUCAAAAAGGACUUUAAAAUCACAGCCAUAUCAAAACUUAAAAGACAAACUCAUUCUAGCCCAUCACAGGUCGACAGGAAGGACAAUUCAGGAGUAACUGACCAAGUGUGGGGAGUGUCAAGACAGGUGGCUGGGGGAGCAUCCUGGGGCAGGGACACCCUCAGGAAUUGCUGAGAUUUUCAGGUGCAAGAGGUGGCUCCGUGACAGGGAGGGCUCACACAAUUUUUUACUUUUUAGGCCUCUUAGGACAGCAUUAUCAAACCACACAUAUUAAAAGGUAGCCAUAUCUGGGAUGCCUGGGUGGCUCAGUGGUUGAGCAUUUGCCUUCAGCUCAGGUCAUGAUCCCGGGGACCUGAGAUCAAGUCCCGGUAACGACUCCCCACAUGCUUCUCCCUUUGCCUCUGUCUCUCAUGAAUAAAUAAAUAAAAUCCUUAAAAAAAAAAAAAAAAAAAAAAAAAAGGUAGCCAUAUCCUAAAUUUCUAAAGCUUUUUAUAAUUCUUUUAAAUUACUUGGUAGGGGGACGAGUAGCAAUUCACUUAACAGAUGAUUAGUUACGGUUCCUUGGCAGCCACCUGGGCUCAGAAAUGCUUGGAAGAAACUCUCACCUAUGUUGUUCUCAAUAUUUUAACAAUUUUUUUUUUAAUUUUUAUUUAUUUGUGAUAGUCAUAGAGAGAGAGAGAGAAUGAGGCAGAGACACAGGCAGAGGGAGAAGCAGGCUCCAUGCACCGGGAGCCUGACGUGGGAUUCGAUCCCGGGUCUCCAGGAUUGCGCCCUGGGCCAAAGGCAGGCGCCAAACCGCUGCGCCACCCAGGGAUCCCUCAAUAUUUUAACAAUUAAGCCAGGAAAUGUUUCAUUUUGUGGAUAUUCAAUAAUUUUUGCUCUUUUCCUUACAUAAUUUGGAGCCAGUAUUUUUUUUUCCUGGUAUUUUGCAAACCUUUCCAUUGGUUCUUCAAAGCUUACAGAUCUUAGGCAAGAGGACUUUAACUGCCUAACAGGUAAAAUGGCAGGAAGGUCAAAAGAGCAUGAAACUGAGAGAAGAGUAUGCAGAUGAUCCAGAACCAAGUGAACUCAGUAUUUAAGACAGCCUGAGGGAAGCUGUCCCAAUGUGAGGUUGGAUCCCUCCAUGCAGCACUGCAGGCACCAUUUGAAAAUAUACAGUCCCCACCAAUGUCUUUCCUUAAAGACUAUGAAGAGCUUCAGGGAUGUCCUACCAUCCCCCCUUCCUUUGGGGCAUCAUGUGCUCCCAAGACUAGUUCCCCAAAUGGACGCCAGGGAGACCAGUCGUGGUGCCAACCAUUCUCAUGGCUGUGGUGACAGGGUAUUUAUUCAAGGAGUAGACACACAAAGUUGUCACAUGUAUCCUUACUGGGCUGGUUCCUUAUCCUUUGUCUUUGAGCUGACCUCUGAUUUCUACAAACUCACCCACCUUCAUAGGUUUGAAUACAGCAUUUCCCAAACUGUAGCAGAAACUAUUAACAAAAUAGCCAAUCUGAAUAUUUUGGGGUGCAAGGCUCUUUAGAAGGUUGGGAAUGGGAAGGAAACAGAGUGUCCUGAGACCUUAGAGAAAAUACCUUGAUAUUUAUAAAACAAAAACAACACAACUAACCUACCUGCUGCCCCAAAUAAAUAUAUAUGAUGGGGGUGGGGGUUGGUGCAACAAGUAGGCAAUGGUAUCUUUCUGAUUUUUUUCCUGCACCAUUUCACACAUUGACCUCAAUUUCACAGAGGAAACCCAAGUGUGGGGAGGUAAGUUAUAUAAUGUCAUAACAGCUGCCAAGCUGAACCAGAAAGCAAGCCUCGCCACCUAACUCCUGAGAUUACCAUCACCUCCCCUGCAGACCCAACAGAAGGGUCUCAGCAGACCAGGAUCCACAUCCAAAACCACCAGCAUCAGAAGGACAAGGCAAAGAGGGAGUGGCCCAUCUGCCAAAACUCAGACCUGGGUCAACAGGGCUGACUCAGACACUGUGCUCAGGCUUGGGGUUAUGUUAUCUGAUAGGUAUGGGCCAAAUAUGAUGAGGGAUUAGCGCAGCCCCAGACCCAGGCAGUCUCAGACGAAAUGAAAGCUUUUAUUUGCUUGAGUAAAGGAGUGAUGUAGCUUGGCCUCUGUAAGAUGCCAAACACUGAUAAAUUAUCCCACUUCAAUGGCCUCUUAGACCUAGCCAACUGGAUGGAGUCCAAAAAGACCCAGCUUGCCUACUGACAUUCCCAUUGACCAUUAGUCCUUCUGAAGAACAGGCUAGGGGUCGUCUGACCAUGGAUACUCUGAGCACAAGCGGCUUCUCAUCCACCCUGGAGUCAAGGGAGGAACAAUCGAGAUCUGUGUGGGGAGUCCUGCCUGUGAUGCUCUUUCCCAAUUCAUCACAGACUGGCUAAUAUUGCCCACACUGGUACAUCCACAGGUCUCCAACAAAGUACCAACAGGCAAAGUCAAUGGAACCCUUCACUUUAAUCCUCACACCAUGAAAAAGCCCCCAGUAAAUCCAUUUCAGCAGCCCACUUUGGUCUCCUACCCCACCCAGCUGAGUCCCACCCCCACCUUGGACAUGGCCAACCCCAUGAAAAUUCCUUAUUUCCCUGAUGUUUCCUUUUCUCCAUCUACCUUUAAUCUUAUCCACUUCUCCCACUCCAUCCUGCCUACUUCUUUCCCUGCCAUUAGCGCUACUCAGCAUAAAACUGCUGGCAUGGGCCUCACUGAGGAGGACCUCAAAACAAAAAACCUAGCAGGAAAUGGCUGCCUCAGUGGGGUCUUGUUGUGCAGUGACAGUGAAAAGACAGGCACCAUGAUGCAACUUAAGCUUUUGCGUUCCUGUUGGGUUUGUAAUCAGGGAUGUCCUUCACCACUUUUUAUCAGAAAAGAUUAAAAAACAACCAAACCAUGAGGUUUAGUUGACCUAUGAAGGCAAUCUGGAUUUCUGCAGAGCCUCCUGUCACUCUUUCCCCAUCACUAUGGUAUGCUGCAAUAUCCUGGCUUCUUCCCACCCCUUAUCAACUGCCUUGAUGAAUAUGGUAAAGUAAUUAUGAUAAAGGAGCCUAGCUGGUCUUGACACAGAAAGACAGAAGCAGGUAGAUGACAUAAAGGCAAAAGCAGGAGCGAAUCUAAGAAUAAGGCAGAAACUGGAAGGGCUGAAUGUCAAAGACAGACCAGCCACCUGAAUAGGAUGGCUUCCACCCAGUGAAUGAUACUGCUUCUCUUGGGCAUUUGAAAAGGGGCUGGGAGCAGGCUGUAUAAAUAUUACAUUUCUCCUCCUUUGGCAAUGUCAUCCCACUACCAGAUACUCCUAUUGCAGAAGCAGCUACGCCAGGAGGGCUGGAAAUACCAGGCCCUUCUGAGUUCACAGCAGAGAGCAGUACACACCCCUUGUACUACUUGCAAUGAUCUGACUGGGGUCCAUAUGCCACUGGAAACUGACCAACAAUACUAUUUGCAGAGCUUGCUAGAAGAGAAGGGCCCUGUCAUAUCCAACAUAGCCCCCUUAGUUCUAAAUUUAAUCAUGGGCAGAUUUGGGUUCAAACAUGAGCAGCGGUAAAUAUGAUUGCAGCAUAUGUGGCAGGCAGAAUUUUCCAGUGGCCAUUGAUGCACCACUGCUGGCUUGAAGACAGAAGGAACCAAGAUGAAAGGAAUGCAGGCAACCCCCAGCUGACAGCCAGAAACAGGAAUUCCAGUCCUAAGACCCACAUUCUGCCAACAACCCAAGUGAGCUGGAGGCUCAUUCUUUGCCAGGGCCCAGCCCAGCUGACACCCUGACAUCAGCCUUGUGAGACUCUAAGCAGAGUAUCCAACCAGGCCCCCCAGGACCUCCAACCUAGGGAACUGUGAGAUCAUAAAUGGGUACUGUCCUCAGCUGCUAAAUUUGUGUUCAUUUCUUAUGCGUAACACAAAACUGAAGUAAAGCACUCAGUAGGUGGAGUGCCAUGAUUCAUAAUGGCCUGGCUCUCUGCAAUGAUGGCCUUACAUUUCCAUAUCCUCCCACACCCCCAGUCAGGAGAGCACAGACUUCCUCUGGUCCCCUUUCCCCAAAAAAGAAAAGGAUACAAAGAAGAUUAGGGAGGCAAACACCUUUUCUACAAGGAAUACCAUUUGGAACCCUUGUAGAAAGAAUUAGAUCAGGGCACCUGGGUGGCUCAGUUGGAUAGGCAUCUGCCUUUGAGUGAGGUCAUGGUCUUGGGGUCCUGGGAUCGAGCCCCAUGUCACACUCCCUGCUCAGUGGGGAGUCUGCUUCUCUCUAUCCCUCCGCCGCUCCCUCCACUGUGUUCUCUGCUAUUUUGUGCCCUCUCUCUCAAAUAAAUAUUCACAAAAAAAUAAAAGAAACAACUAGAUCUUCUCCUUCCUGUCAACCACAGCCCCAUACACACAGCAAAUAUAGACUCUGCUAGUUGUCAGGGGCAACCCACCAUGGGCCAAGUGUUCCUGCAUGUUCUUGCUCAAGAGGCUUUUCCCUGGGCCCUUUCUUUCUCCUAACGGUGUUCACAGCAAGCGGUCCUGAGGGAUGCAGUAAUGCCUCCAUCUGGAACCAAGAGCAGGCUUGCUGGAAGAGGUGGAAUCCCCAAGCAUGCAGACUCCUUGGCUGUGAUGCAAACCCAUUGCACACUCAGCAUCUGCCUGGGCCACCCCCUCCCCACCCCACGUCACCACUGUGGGGCUUGGGGGACAGGGUAAACCUGAUACAAACAUGAAGC
rnacentral:lncRNA from 1 species